rnacentral:rRNA from 1 species
CUGGGAAUCGUACGCAAUGGACGAAAGUCUGACGUCGCGACGCCGCGUGGAGGAUUGAAGGCCUUAGGGUUGUAAACUCCUUUUGACGUGAUUGAGAAGUCACGUAGAAUAAGCACCUGCUAACUCUGUGCCAGCAGCCGCGGUCAUACAGAGGGUGCAAGCGUUAUCCGGAUUUAUUGGGCGUAAAGCGUUUCGUAGGCGGCCAUUUAAGUUAUCCUUUAAAGACCACGGCUCAACCGGGGCAAGGGGGGUAAUACUAAAUGGUUUUGAAGUAUGGUGGGGCUUCUGGAACUGACGGUGUAGGAGUGAAAUCCGUUGAUAUCGUCAGGAACUCCAAGGGCGAAGGCAGGAAGCUAACCAUAUCUUGACGCUGAGGAACGACAGCUAGGGGAGCGGAAUGGAUUAGAGACCCAUGUAGUCCUAGCCGUAAACUAUGCUCGCUAGAGAUCUCCGAGCAAUCGGGGGUCCCGUAAGCUAACGCGUUAAGCGAGCCGCCUGGGGAGUACGGCCGCAAGGCUA